AGUUUUUCAAGGGCUGCACAUUCAUUCACUCAAAAAAGAUACGGCCUUUACACAAAAAUUCUUUAAAAUUCAGAAUUCCUCCUUUCGUUAAUUCACUAAUAUUUACAUUGAUUUAUGAAAAAUCCAUUGUCCUUCACUUUCAUUUUUAGUAAAGAAAAUUUCUGAAAAAUUAACUUUGGGAUUUCAGAAACAAAAAAAACAACAAAGGUUUUCAUUAGCUUGCUUCACUAUCGGAUAACUGUGUUUUUCAAGUUCUGGGUUUGAAGUUUGGUUGUGCUUCAUUUUCUGUGUUGGCUACUGUUUCAUUAAGCUGUAGCUGAUUCUAUUUUUAGCUGUGCUUCUCAAAUUCAGAGGUUUAUUUUCUUGUUGUUCUUUGCUGCUGCUGAGGUAUUACUCUUGAUCAAAUAGGGUAAACUUCAUUUUGUUUGAAUUAUGAAACUGUUUUCUACAGUAUGGUGACUGUGUUUGAUAUUUAUCAAAUUGUAUGUGUUGUUUAAUUAUUGUUGGAAUGUGGCUAUGAGCUAUGAGCUGAAUUAUUGCAAUGUGUCGUGUUAAACAAUGACUAAGAUCCGUUUAUUUGAAGUUAUCUAUAGACCUAUAUGAAAUUAAUCAUCUAUACAAUUUAUUCUUUAGCCAUGAAGUUUAUAGUUUGUUACCAGUUAGAAUUAGAGACUGUGAUAACCUACACUUGAUAAGGUGUUUGUUUAAGAUGUAAAACUUUACUAGUGAUGAUUUUGGAUUUGCAUGACCUUAAAAGCCUCGGUGAUGGAUGCACACAUAGCUCUAAUUCAGGUUUCAAUUGCUAAUGAGUUUGGCUAAACAAGUAGAUAUUAAAUCAUAAGAAGGAAACACCAAAAGUGUUUAGAUACUCCAGUGCAAGUGGUGUGUUGAUUUCAUCCUAAAGCUCUUAUCUAGUUCAAUUGUCAUGGUUGCUCUGUUUUCCGGAUCUAUGUAGUCAUUCAUGAAUUGUAAUUAGAGUAAUUGAAACUGUGAUUUUGUAAUUCUUUAAUACUGCAAAUGGGUAUUGUUUCUUUUUAGGCUUGUAUAAUUGUGUAUUGAAUAUGAUUUAAGGUUAGUUAUCUUUUAUUGGGCCUGGUGUGGGCCAAUUUUAUAAAAGAAUGUUUGGCCAAGGGAAGAAAUCAUGUUUCCAGUUGGUUAUUGGAGUUUUAUUAUUCACUUGGGCUCAAUUUUGAGCCUAGUGUUAUGUGUUGAUGCUUUUUAAAAAGGAAUUAGCACAUCUGGGCUUCACCUAAAAAUUCACAUGCAAUUUGCUUAGCCCAUUAGAGGUUCUUCCCCAAUGUCUAAUGAAAUUGAGCCCAAAUUUGUUUAAUUUCCCAUAGAUCACGACUUUACCAAUAAUCUCAAAUUAGAAAAGGGAAUAAAUCACAAAUAUUCGAGGAAAUGCUUUAGGCGCGUUCUUUAAAUUACUAUCUUGAUUGUGUACACGUUCACGUGACAUGAUUAUGAUUUUCUAUGAUAAAUCCAAGUACACGUUCACGUGACUUUGGCCAAACAAUCUUAAUAACAAUAAAGUAUUAUUAGUUGUGUGCACGUACGCGUGACAUGACUUUAACAUACCAAAACAAGACGAAUACACGUACGCGUGAUUCGAAUAAUCGAGUAAUUAAAAGUGGUAAAAGGUAAAAAUACAAAUAGGUUCUAAAAAUACGUAAUUAAAUAAAUUAGUUAAGCCGGGUAUGAUUAAAGCGACCGUGCUAAAAAUACGGAAUCCGAGAAUGCCUAACAUCUUUUUCCGGGUUAACAUAAUUCCUUACUCGGUCUUCUGUGUUCGCAGACUUUAAAACAUAGUCAAAUUUUCUCGAUUUGAGAUUUAAAAUAAACAGGUGACGUGGGACACCAUAAUAAUUAUUCCAAGUGGCGACUCUUAUAAUCAAAUAAAUAAUCUCAUUUCGAACAAUGUCACUUUAGUUGGAAAAACUCACUAUUCCUAUCGAGAAAAGGGAGGUAUGACAACUCUGGCGACUCUGCUGGGGAUCGAACCCAGAAUCUCUAGUUUAGGGUUCAGAAUUCGAGCUUGUAAUGUGAUCUAUACUUGGCUUUAUUAUUUGUUGAUAUUGCUGUGUUUGUGGGCCUAAUGUGCUAAUUGUCGCCCAUUUACCUCUUUGAUAUUAUUUGAACUGUAUUAUAACUGUCUUCUUACGACUCCCAUCUAAUUCUUCUAAAAAUAUGAUACACAUGUACAUGUGAUACACUUUUUCGUUAGAGGUCGUACCAAAUAGAACGAGGCUGGAUCAACAACUAGACCAGGUAGACUUUCAUGUUCCCGGUACAUUAUCCCUACCUUAGCUCGAGCUGUCCGCUUGGGUAAGCCAUGUCUAGAACACACCCCCAGGUUUAAACCUAGAAUAACAUAGCCUAAUACCGGAUCCCUAGUAGGAAUGUUUGUUUGUAUCAUGUGCAUUUGACUUUGGAGACUCAACACAGAGGUUGGGUCCGUCUAGGAUAGGUGUACCCAAAAUUACAAGACCAUCUUGAUGCAUCCUACGUGCUACCUGUGCAUUUAUUUAUUUCAACUUACAUGUUGAUCGGCUAGGAAAAAAAAUUAAGAGAAACAAUAAGAGUGAGGUAGAAGAGGGAAAUUUGCCCAAUUCUGAAAACCCCGGUAUUUGGAAAAAUCCCAAAACUCUGCCAAAAGUUUUGAAAAAGAGAGAGAAGAAAAUGAAUUUCAAAAUGAAUCAAUAUCAUGUUUUCCCGUUUAUGUCAAAACUGACUGAACUACGCGGGUCUGAUUCUCACUGGAUGUGAGAUACGUAGGCAAAUCUCAUCGGUUCCGGCCCCAAUUUUANNNNNNNNNNNNNNNNNNNNNNNNNNNNNNNNNNNNNNNNNNNNNNNNNNNNNNNNNNNNNNNNNNNNNNNNNNNNNNNNNNNNNNNNNNNNNNNNNNNNNNNNNNNNNNNNNNNNNNNNNNNNNNNNNNNNNNNNNNNNNNNNNNNNNNNNNNNNNNNNNNNNNNNNNNNNNNNNNNNNNNNNNNNNNNNNNNNNNNNNNNNNNNNNNNNNNNNNNNNNNNNNNNNNNNNNNNNNNNNNNNNNNNNNNNNNNNNNNNNNNNNNNNNNNNNNNNNNNNNNNNNNNNNNNNNNNNNNNNNNNNNNNNNNNNNNNNNNNNNNNNNNNNNNNNNNNNNNNNNNNNNNNNNNNNNNNNNNNNNNNNNNNNNNNNNNNNNNNNNNNNNNNNNNNNNNNNNNNNNNNNNNNNNNNNNNNNNNNNNNNNNNNNNNNNNNNNNNNNNNNNNNNNNNNNNNNNNNNNNNNNNNNNNNNNNNNNNNNNNNNNNNNNNNNNNNNNNNNNNNNNNNNNNNNNNNNNNNNNNNNNNNNNNNNNNNNNNNNNNNNNNNNNNNNNNNNNNNNNNNNNNNNNNNNNNNNNNNNNNNNNNNNNNNNNNNNNNNNNNNNNNNNNNNNNNNNNNNNNNNNNNNCCCUAAUUUUAAUAAAAAUACCAAAAAUAAAAAUGUGUUUGUUUCUUUUGGUCAAAAGAGUAAGCCGAUCCAGCUUCGGUUGCGUCUUGCACCGUUUUUGCCGGAAUAGCCUUAGAACAUCUUUAAAUUGUCGAAAGGCUAUUCUCGCAAAGAACAGACAUGUCUGUCAAUGAGGCCUCACUUUUCCCAUGAAGUGCCUUUCCCCGGCCUCAAACUUUAUUCGAAAGUGGAAAGGGGCUAUUAUUGCAAAGAUGGCCAUCUUUGGCUAAUAUUGCAUAAAUAGACACCCUAAUUUGAUUUCUCCUUGGAAAAUUGAAAACUUGUUUUGCAAAAGAGUCCACUGGUCUGUCUUUCAAACUAGAGUCAACCAUAACCCUAACCAUUCACAGGUACAAAAUGAACACUGUCCAUAACCCGCCAUUACAUGUUGUAGAGCAUGUUCCAUUGCAGCUUCAAAUGCGAUGGUACGACCUGGAUAAAGAUAGUCAGGAUCGGGUAGUAAAAUAUUUAGGUGAUCUCACGGAUAUUAUGAAAAUCAAGGCCUUGGUAACUUUCUGGGGUCCCGUCCACAAUGUCUUCCGCUUCUCAAGUUUUGAGCUUACGCCCACUCUGGAGGAAAUAUACUGGUUUCGUCCGGGACUUAAGAAAUCAGCAACUUAUAUUUCUAAGGCCUCCCUCUGUGCACCGAUUCUUUGAUCUCCUGAAUAUCAGUAAGCAAAUAAGGAAGAACAAUGUAAACAAUGGAUGUUGCUCCUUCUGCUUCCUGUAUUCCAUAUAUGGGCACUCAAAUGGGUUUGAAGCACAUGAAAAGGGCCUGAAUAACAAGGCGAACAAGGACACCUGGAAAAUUCAUCGUCGUUUUGCUUUCAUAGUGGCGUUUCUGGGAAUUAUGGUCUUCUAAAUGAAAAAUAGACAAUUGAUAUCUGCAUGGCCAGAAUUGCGCAAGUCAUCACUACCAAAGAAGAUCACACGCUUGCUCCGCUUAUAUUAUCGGACAUAUAUCGAGCAUUGACGUUGUAUAAGUCUGGGGCGACACUUUUUGAAGGUUGCAAUAUUCUUUUGCAAAUGUGGUUAAUUAAACAUCUCCGCCAUCACCCAAAAUUCAUGAGUUAUGGCUCGAGCAAGAACAAAUUCAUCGAGAGUUAUGAGGAAAGGGUAAAAGAUUACAACUCUCCAGAAGGGGUUGAAGCUUGGAUCUUCCAUCUAAGAACUCUAAAGGCGAGUCAGAUUGAAUGGACUUUGGGAUGGCUCCCGGUAAGGGAAGUCAUACACAUGAUGGCUAGAAAAAGCUAUUUGUUGUUGAUGGAUUUGAGAAGUGUCCAACCGUAUGCACCGUAGAGAGUUCUAAGACAGUUGGGAAGAUAUCAAGUGGUGCUCGAAGAUGAAGAUUUGAGUGUCCAAGUCAUUGAGCUACACCAUGAAGCCCCACUACCCGAGGCUUUAAUCCAGCAAACUUGGAAUAGUUGUCGAUACCUGAAAGAGGAUACCCAGGUACCAGAUCUUGCGAGAGGUGAGGUAGAUCUAGGUUAUGCCACAUGGUUUGAGAGAAGGUAUUGCGUUAAUGAUGAGCCCGAGCCCCAAAGGCCCACCAAAAGACCUCAUAUUCAGGCUUUUGAUGACAAAUUUCGAGAACAGUUGGCCUGGAAGAAAAAGGAGAAGAAAUAUCAAGCCACCAUCCAUGCCUUAGAAGAAAAGUUGAGAAGCCUCACAUUUGACAAUGACUUACAGGCACAGGAGGCCGAAGGUGAAAAGAGAAAGUUGACCCGAGAGAACGAGGCACUCCGAGCCCAACUCUGGGACAUGAGGAUAGCCUCUAAAACUCCUGUGAGGAGUGAUAAAUAUGAAAAACUCAUCAGCAACUUAAGGUUAAAGGUGCAUGAUUAUGCGACUGACUUGACAAAGGCCGAGAGAGACUUGCUAAACCUCAAGCAAAGUUGGCCAUAGGUGCGGAAGAACAUGCCAGAUUAGCCUACCAGUUGAAGCAGAAAUACGACAGAGAAGUAACAAUUCUAAAGAAAAAGAUGGUCUCCCUUGAGAAUGAAAUGGUCCAACUAACAAAGGAUUUCAAGGCAGAAAGAGAGCAUUGCUACGCAUUGAUUUACCGAUUAGAAGAAAGCAUGCAACAAUUGCAAGACCAAAACAACACAUCCACACAGGUGUUGGAAGCAUGGGCACAACAAAUUGGACGUUUGCUUCAAGAAAAAGGUGUAUCAUAAUGAGAAUCAAAGAGAUAAUUGAUUAUGUUGUAAUGAAAUGCCAUGAAUGUGAAGACAUGACCAGGUCUAUGUUUUUUGCUUCUGUGAUGACCUUUGUUCGCCAGGUGAUGGUUGACCUAAACCAACUUCAAGAAGAUAUUGCAUGUAGGCCCGCGCCGAGAUCGACUGAUGUCCCACGGGCCCCCGGAGUACCAGUGGAGGCUCUUAUGUAUUUUUGAUUUUUCGGUUUUUGAGUAUGUAUUUUACUUUUUCUCGAGUUUUGUUCGUCUUUGUCAAGGCUGUUUUGUUUUGAGUAUGUAUGAUUUCCUUUGUAGUCAUCAGUAAUUCAGAGUCCUUGUAAUAGAAAAACCCAAAAAGAUGUCUUUAUUAAUGAAAUAUUGAAAAACCCAAUUUUGUUUAUUUCACAUUUAUUUCCUGAACUACGUAAUGAUCUGAUUCAUGCGGCAUCAUGAUAUGUAGGCAAUCCUCGUAGGAUUCGAUCAUAGCCAUAAAAUAAAAUUUAAAAAAAAAGAGAAAAUAAAGUGAGUGAAAAAGAAAGAAAAGAGGGGCAAAAACAAAAUGGAAGAAAAAAGCGAGAAAUAAAAGAUUGAAAAUAGUAGAAAAGAGAAGGAAAAGAAAUCAAAGGUUGAAAUUUGAGAAAGAGAUAGCAAAGCGGGGAUGAAACACAUAGCCAUUGCAAAAACAUUUAGAAAUAUUUAACUGUUCAGUUGCAUUGCAUCCCCAAUGUACGAUUCCCUAUAUAUUAAAUGCCUCAAAACUGACAAGGUUGUUGUGCAUGUUAUUUAAACAGGUCUUGUUUAGGUGGUUGGUUUUGACGGAUCCUGGCUUCCCAACGUUACUUUACAAGAUCAAAAGGAAGUGUCCCAAUGUCUUCAGAAAGCAGUAUCCGCAUCAUCUAUCCUAAGGAUAAUGCCACUUCGGUUAUGAUCCAGCCUGAGUUGGCAACUGCUGAAGAAAACCAGAUGUUACGUGUUCACAUGUUUGAGAUAUGGGACACCUGGUCCAAUGGUAGAGAACCACCAAGUUCAAUCCCUAGAUUUCCCGAACGGAUUCCUAGGAUGGGUGGAACCACCACCAUCCCCAUCCCCAUCCCCAUGACUAAUCUAUUUGUCCGCUAGGGUACCCUACUAUGUCAGCCAACUUUACCGGUACGCCUUCUAAGGUCCGCCCUCAUGCACCAUUUAUAGGGGUACCCCAACAUUGCUCACUGUACUACCAAACUUUACCAUGGCACUGCCGACCCCGGCCAGGCCAUGCUAUGAGACUUUAACAUUCACAUUUCGGGCCCGUAAUUUCAGCCAGAUAUAACUCAUGUUACUCCAGACUCAUACCCUCAGCAUCAGCAAUAUAAGUCCCCAAUGGAACAAGAAAUAACAAUGAGAAACCUCGAGCAGGAAGAAAUGGCUCAGAAGAUGAGAAGCCUAGAGCAAAGCUUAAAACACAUGCAAGGCCUGAGUGGCCAGAAGAGUGUCUCCUACUCUGAUUUGUGCAUGUUUCCACAUGUUCACCUGCCAGUUAGCUUCAAAACGCCAAAGUUUGAAAAAUAUGACGGGCAUGGAGAUCUGAUCGAUCAUCUGAAAUGAUACUGCAAUAAGUUAAGGGGUGCUAGUUGAAAAGAAGAGUUAUUGAUGGCUUAUUUCGGGGAAUGCCUGACUGGAAUCACUUCAGAAUGGUACAAGGACCAAGAAAUCUCCCACCAACACAUAUGGGAUGAUUUGGCCCACGAUUUUGUCAGACAUUUUCAGUACAAUGUUGAUAUAGCUCCAGACAGGAACUCCUUGUUUAACUUGAAGAAGAGAACCAAUGAGAGCUUCCGUGAAUAUGCUAUUAAAUGGCACGAGCAGGCUGCCAGAGUAAAGCCCCCAUGGACGAGACCGAAAUGAUUACAAUAAUCUUGCAGGACCAAGAGGCCUAUUAUUUUCAGAAUAUGAUGUCUGCCAUGGCUAAACCGUUCGUAGAGGCAAUAAAAAUUGGAGAAAUGGUAAAAAAUGGUUUGAAAAAUGGCCGAAUAUUAAGCCAAUCUGCUUUGAGAGCUACCUCCCAAGCCAUCCAGAAUGGCUCAGGAGGUUUGGCCAACCGAAAGAAGAGGGAGGAAGGAGCCAUGAUGACUUCAGGUUCAAGAGGACCCCGUCAAUCACGUGAUCACUCUUAUAUGUUGCCCAGAACCCCACAACACUACUAUCCCCACCAAGAUGUAGUCUAUGCCGUGGCACCGCCUCCCUAUGUGGUGAUGAAUGCCUAACCCUACACACGGCCACAACAGCACUACAACCAAGCUCGAGCUCCACCUCCCAGAAAUAACCAUCUUUACCAAGCUCCAUAUAAUCCUCGUCCACCACAAUACAAAUACCAACAUAAUCUAUGCCCUCGUGAGCCACCUAGGAGAUGCAAUUUCACCCCUAUUGGUGAAUCCUACUCUAGCCUGCUUCAAAAUUUGAUCCAGUUGGGUCUGUUGCAGCAUGUGCCCCCUAAUCGACAAAAUCCUGAAUCCCCAUCAUACCGGGCAUGUGCCAGGUGUGCUUACCAUUUGGGGGUAGAGGGUCAUGAUACGUAGGAUUGUUAGACCUCAAAAAGGGCGGUUGAGAAUCUGAUAGAACAAAAACAGAUUGUGUUGAGGGACGAGGAAGUCCCUAAUGUGACUAACAACCCAUUAUCGGCUCAUAACAAUGGGCCAGUCAUUGGAAUGAUCUGUGAGGAUAAAGAAUUCAAUCCAGCUUUGAAAGUUAUCAUUGCCAUUGCCGAUUCAGAAACAAGACCCAAAGUUGCGGUAAAACAAGCCAAAACUGAAAAGAAAAUCACUCCAAUUCCUCAAGUGGAAGAAAAAGCUGUAGAAACAAAAACUGGGGCAACAUAUUCUAAGAACACAAUUCUCUAUGUUCCUAAAGCCCCAGGGAAAGAACAACUCACUUUGAAUACUCCCAAGAGAUUCGACCCAAUAAAGGUCACGUUGAAUAUGCCGAAGCUGUAUGUGCCAAAGGGGAAUUACGUCGCGCGGGAGAAAAUAAUUUCACCCAGGCUGACUAAGCCCGUGGUUAUCAGCCGUGCACCACAGAAUCCCAUGAGAGACCCCACCACAGUUCCCUGGAAUUACAACAAAACAAUGGUCACUUACAAGGUCAAAGAAGUCAUGGGAGAGGUAAACGAAAUGAAUCAACCUGGAAAGUACCAUAACCUAGAAGAGUUAAAGCUGAAAAAGGAUAAACGGUUUCCACCUAAAAAUCAUGUGAGCGCCGAGGAGGCUGAAGAGUUUUUUCGAAAAAUGAAAACUUCGGACUAUGGAAUAGUUGACUAACUCCGGAAGACUCCUUCCCUAGUCUCACUCCUAUAUCUGUUGUUGAGCUCAAAUGAUCAUCAGAAAGUACUCUUAAAGACAUUGAACGAGGCAUAUGUCCCAGUUGAAACUUCUGUUGAGCAACUAGAGAGAAUGGCAGAACGAUUCUUCGAGGUCAACAGGAUUUCUUUCAGCCGCGAGGAUUUGCCCCCAGAGGGAGCUACCCAUAAUAAAGCCCUUCACUUGACUGUAAAAUGUGGGGAUUACUAUGUGAAGAGAUUCAUGCUAGAUGGUGGUUCAGGGAUCGAUAUCUUCCCUCUUUCAACACUCUAGAGAAUGGAGAUUGGAACGGAAAGAAUCCGACCUAACAAUGUUUGUGUACGGGCUUUUGAUGGCAUCAAGAGAGAUACAAUAAGGGAAAUUGAUCUAAUUUUGACCAUUGGCCAUGUGGACUUCGAAAUGACUUUCCAGACUCUAGAUAUGGACACCUCAUACAAUUUUAUUUUGGGAAGACCAUGAAUUCACGCUGCUAGAGUCGUUCCCUCCACUCUCCACUAGAUGAUCAAAUUUGAGUACGAGAAUCAAGAAAUUGUUGUUCAUGGGGAAGACGAGCAGUCCAUCUACAGGGAUCCUUCAGUCACGUGCCUUGAAGCUAGGGAAGGCAGUGAGCAUAUUGUAUACCAGGAUUUUAAGAUUGUGGUUGCCGAUCAAUAUGAAGAAGGGGCACCAUGCCCAUAGACUUGCUUAUCUAAUGCCUCAGUCACGGUGGCCACUGAAAUGAUUAAAUAUGUGUACAAGCCCGGAAAGGGGCUCGGGGUAUCUCUACAAGGCAUCACAGAGCCCGUCACUUCGAUCGCCAAUGAGAAGUUUUGGCGUGGGUUUCCAAUCUAACGAAGCUAAUAGAAAAUGGGAGGAUAAGCGCAAAAAAAGGUUGGGUCCUACCCCAGCCUAUCCCACAUCUCUCCCGAUCAUUUGUCAAGCCCAUGUUUAUGGAAGAAGAAGAAGAAGAGGCCUUCACGGCGGAAGAGAUUGAUGAUAUUUGUGAGGCCAUGAAACAAAUGUUGUAUGCGGUUCACAUGGUCCAGCCAGGGGAAGGCACGAGUACUGCCGAGGUGCAGUAAAUGGGGCUAGAUGCCAAGCUUCAGAAUUGGAAGGUUACUCCAUUCUCUAUCAGAUGGGAGUCCCGGUAAUCUAGUCUUGCCAUCUCUUCUGCAUUACGAGUUAUUUCAGGGUGUAACUUGAAUGUUUUAUUUUUAUUGUCUUUUAAUUUCGAUGUAAACCCUCCUAUCUUCAAUGAAAUGAAAUGAAAUCAGUAUUUCAUCGUCUAUAGAUAUCUCUUCUCUUUUAUUCUGAUUUUGCUAUUUUUUUAUUUUUUUUCCUUUUCAGUUCUAAUAAGGUAGACUUAAAUAAUAUGACAUGCUUGCAGACUUCAUGCCCAGAUCCUAAAAUAUUGUCUAACUGUGAAAUAAUGAAUAAAGAACCAGAAUAUGAUGAAGAUGAGGCGUUUAGGAAAAUAAAUCGAGAAUUGGAAUAAUUUGAGAAUAAGCCUAAACUAAACUUAAAUGAAACCGAGCCAGUUAAUUUGGGCAGUUUAUAAGAGAUCAGAGAAACCAUGAUAAGCAUUUACACUGAUGAAAGAACUAGAGAUGUAUUAAUCCAACUUUUGUUUGAAUUCAAAGACGUGUUUGCAUGGUCCUAUAAUGAUAUGCCAGGAUUGAGCGUCGAUUUAGUGGUACAUAAAUUGCCGACCUAUCCCGACUAUCCAACUGUCCAACAGAAGAAGAGAAAGUGCAAGACAAACAUCAAUGAUAAGAUCAAAGAAGAAGUCACCAAACAACUAAAAGAUGGUGUGAUCCAAGUGGUCCGAUACACUACGUGGUUGGCUAAUGCGGUUCCAGUGCCGAAGAAAGAUGGAAAAACCCGAGUGUGUGUUGAUUAUCGGGAUUUGAACAAAUCAAUCCCCAAGGACAAUUUUCCAUUGCCAAACAUCAACAUUCUUGUUGACAAUUGUGCCAAGCAUGAUAUACAAUCUUUUGUUGAUUGUUAUGCUGGAUAUCACCAGGUUCUGAUGGAUGAAGAAGAUGCAGAAAAGACAGCUUUCACCACACCAUGGGGAACUUACUAUUACAGGGUCAUGCCAUUCGGUCUGAAAAUCACCGGGGCAACCUACAUGAGAGCUAUGACUGCCAUCUUCCAUAACAUGAUGCACCAAGAAAUUAAGGUGUAUGUGGAUGAUGUGAUCAUUAAAUCCAGAACGUAAGAAGACCAUGUGCGAGACUUGAGGAAGUUCUUUGAGCGUCUGCGCAUGUAUGAUUUGAAAAUGAACCCAACUAAAUGUGCAUUCGGAGUUCCAUCUGGGAAACUUCUAGGGUUUAUAGUCAGCCGGAGAGGUAUUGAACUAGAUCCAGCAAAGAUAAAGUCUAUUCGGGAUUUACCUCCUCCGAAAACCAAGAAAGAGUUCAUGCGUCUGCUAAGGAGGCUAAAUUAAAUCAAUAGAUUCAUUUCUCAGCUUACUACCACGUGUGAACCCAUAUUUAAGUUGCUGAACAAAGACGCAUCGAUCAAAUGGACAGAUGAGUGUCAAGAAGCUUUUGAUAAAAUCAAAGAAUAUCUGUCAAAUCUGCCAGUGUUGGUUCUGCCUGAGCCCAGAAGACCUUUGUUCUUGUACCUGACAGUCUUAGAAAAUUCUAUCGGCUGUGUCCUCGGGCAACAUAAUAUGACCGGGAAGAGAGAGAGCAAGCCAUAUAUUACCUGAGCAAAAAGUUCACCAGUUAUGAAGCCAAAUAUACGUUGCUAGAAAGAACUUGUUGCGCCCUCACUUGGGUCGCCUAGAAGCUCAGACAUUAUCUUUUGGCCUACACAACGUAUCGCAUAACAAGAAUGGACCCUUUGAAAUACAUAUUCCAAAAACCAAUACCCAUAGGAAGGUUAGCAAAAUGGCAAAUCCUGCUCACUGAGUUCGACAUUGUUUAUGUCACCCGCACGACGGUGAAAGCUCAAGCCUUGGAGUAUCAUCUAGCUGAGAACCCGGUUGAUGAUGAAUACCAAUCCCUAAGUACUUAUUUUCCGGACGAAGAAGUAAACUUGGUUGAAGUAAUUCCAGAAGACACUAAUGUUUGGAAAAUAUUCUUUGAUGGAGCUGUAAAUGUAAAAGGUGUUGGGAUUGGAGCGAUUCUGAUUUCGCCCACAGGUCAGCACUAUCCGGCCACAAACCGCCUUCGGUUCUUCUGUACAAAUAACACUGCUGAGUAUGAAGCCUGCAUUAUGGGCAUGAAUAUAGAAGUUGAUCUGGAUAUAGAGGAGUUGUUAAUCAUGGGGGAUUCUGACCUAAUUAUUCGGCAAGCCCAAGGUGAAUGGGAAACUCGAGACAUCAAGCUUUUAACAUAUAUGCAACAUGUGGAAGAACUUAGCAAACAGUUAAAGUUCGUCGAGUUCAGGUACAUUCCUCGAUUCCACAAUGAGUUAUCUGAUGCACUAGCUACCUUGGCCUCAAUGCUGCCAUACCCGGGAAAUGUCCAUAUUGACCCGCUGGAAAUCCAAAUUCGAGAAAGGCAUGGUUAUUAUAAUGCAAUUGAAAUAAAACCAUAUGUUCAACCAUGGUAUCAUGAUAUCAAAAGGUUUUUGAAAACAAAGGAAUAUCCCGAGCAGGCCAGUGGAAAUCGGAAGAGAACUAUCAAAAGGCUUGCCAGCAGCUUCUUUUUGAGCGGAGAGGUCUUGUACAAAAGAACUCCAAAUUUGAAUCUUUUAAGGUGUGUAGACACCCGAGAAGCUGAAAAGAUCAUGAACAAAGUGCAUUCUGGAGUAUAUGGGCCUCACAUGAAUGGAUAUGUCCCGGUAAAGAAAAUUCUCUGGGCAGGUUAUUACUGGAUGACCAUGGAAAAUGAUUGUUUCAGUUUCGUCCAGAAGUUCCAUCAAUGCCAGAUACACGGUGACCUGAUUCAUGCACCGCCUUCAGAGUUACAUCCUAUGUAGGCGCCCUGGCAGUUCGUUGCUUGGGGCAAGGAUGUUAUUGGGCCAAUCGAGCUAAAAGCUUCAAAUGGGCACAUAUUCAUCCUGGUUGUCAUUGAUUAUUUCAAAAAGUGGGUCAAAGCGGUCACUUUUAAAGCCGUCACUAAGAAAGAAGUGGUAGACUUCGUGCAUUCCAACAUUAUUUGUCAUUUUGGUAUUCCUAAAAACUAUUAUUACCGACAAUGCUGCAAAUCUGAACAGUCACUUGAUGAGAGAGGUAUACGAAUAGUUGAAAUUACGCAUCUCAAUUCUACCCCUUACCGACCCAAAGCCAAUGAUGCCAAUGAAGCGGCAAACAAGAACAUCAAGAAGAUUCUCAGGAAGAUGAUUCAAAGCUCCACGAAAUGGCAUGAAAAGCUGCCUUUUGCACUAUUGGGAUACCGCACAACCGUGCGAACAUCAGUUGGGGCUACUCCUUACUUAUUGGUCUAUGAAACUGAAGCUAUAAUACCCACAGAAGUUUAGAUUCCCUCUCUUCGGAUCAUUGUUGAAGCUGAGAUCGAGGACGAGUAAUGGGUCAAAACCCGGUUGGAAUAGUUGACUAUGAUUGAUGAAAAAUGGAUGGCCGCAGUUUGCCACGGGAAGUUGUACCAACAAAGAAUGGCCCGUGCCUACAACAAGAAAGUGCGGCCCAGGAAAUUUGAAGUGGCUCAACUCGUCCUGAGACGUAUUCUCCCGCAUCAUGAAGAAGCAAAAGGAAAAUUUGCUCCAAACUGGAAAGGUCCGUACAUUAUAAGAAGAGUGUUGCCAAAGGGAGCGCUAUAUUUGGGAGACAUUGAAGGAAAUGACCCCGAGACAACUGUCAAUGAAGAUGCGGUUAAGAGGUAUUAUGUUUGACCCCUUUGUCACAACUUUAACAUGCUCUGAUUGGGAUGACGAAUGCUUUUAUUCUCGCUACCCAAACACUACCCAUCCUUACAACUUUUUUGAGUCGGUUCCCUCUUUCUUUGGUUACCCUCUUUGGAACAUGGAAUUUGUUACUAAAAUAAAUGAUGAAAAAUAAAAAAUAUAUAUAAAAAAUAAAAACAAAAGAAAAAAAAACAAAAGAUCCUUUAACUACGUUUGACUUGAUUCCGAAAGGAUACGUAGGCAGCCUCUCUCUGGGGUUUAGUCACACCAAAAGAAAAAUUCAUACUUCCCCAAUGUUGAAACCGGGGCAGCUGUUAUAAUGUUUCGGCGAUGGUUUCGCCUGAAAGGUUCCAAAGUUGUAAUUCAAUCCAAAUCCUUUUUACCCGAAUCCUUUUAUGCCCUUCCGAUCAAUUGGUGAGAAUGUUCACAGAUCGGAGAAUACAGCUACUUGGAUCCGAUGCAAUCAAAAUGAGAGAAAUAAAAUGAGAGAGACUUAUUGGUGAAAAUCCUCACAGGUACUGUAAGGUGACGGUAAGCAGAGAAAUUGAAAAUGAGAGUCUUGUUAGUUAAAACUCACAAAGAGCAUUAUAAGACGACGGUGAGAAGGGAAAUAAGAGAGGUCAGCAUGUGAAAACCCGCAAAGGACGCCACUGAUCGAAAAGAGGUUCCUCAAUCACUGACAUUGACACAGUCCUAGGCAAGAUUUCUCGGUUUCGAGGAAAAUAUUGUGAGAAUUUCUGAGAGUCGGAGGGUUUACACAGAUCAGGGAUCCAGUCCAAGAGGCAUAUCAGGUUCAUUGAAGCCUGCAUGCACUCCAGAUAAGUCAUUCUUUCUCUUCCUCGAAAAGGACACCUCUUGUCUAAAUUCAUUGUCCAUUCCAUUGUUUGUUUUUCUUUGAAUCCCUUUCGGUCUAACUCUAUUCCAAACUAAGGCAAAGACGGGAUGGCAAGACUGAUUUAUAGGGUUCUCAUUUUAUAUGAGCUAAUAUACAAAAAAGGCACUCAACCUUGAUAGGGGCGUCAAGUUGACCCUAACUAGCCAUAGUAGCAGAUGUUUCGAAAUCAAAAGCUCUAAAAUUGAAAGCUUUGAAAAAAAAAAGAAUGUCAAAUGCUCACAAAGGCGAAACAAAGAUUGAAAAGGUUAGGUCCCACGUGACCAGCCGUUAUGGAAAGUUUGGGAAAGCCAAAGGUUCUACGAGGUCAGAAGUGCAAGCGAUAUUCAAGAAAUAACUAGUUGCAAGUGAAAAUUAUCAUCAAAGAAGUAGGCCACGAUCAAGUGACUAAAACACCCAAGGCCGCAAAACCAACCACCAUUUCAAACUGAGAAAUUAUUCUUUGUUUGAACCACAGGAAACAGGUGUAAUCCAAAGCAAUCUUGAAACAAGCAGGUGCAACCAAAAAGAAAAUCACGCGGAGACAGAAAUAGCUCUGCAACAACAACCACUCUAAAAAGGGGAAGUCUUCUCCAAAUGUUUUCCCGCAUUUUACUCAUUCUCUUUUAAAAAUGAAAUGAUUACAAAGAAAGAAAAUAAAGAAAAUUUAAUAUAGGGUCUCCAAUCCCUAGCUGCAUUUUCUAAUAUAGGGUUUACACUCCCUAUUUGAUUUUAUUUUAGACAUAUGGUCUCCACUCCCUAGUCGAUUUUCCAACAUAGGGUCUCCACUCCCUAGUUGAUUUGAUUUUUAGACAUAGUAUCUUCACUCCAUAGUCUUUUUUCCAAUAUAGGGUCUCCACUCUAUAGUUGAAUUUAUUUUNNNNNNNNNNNNNNNNUUUUCCAACAUAGGGUUUUCACUCCCUAGUUGAUGAUAUUUUAGACAUAUGGUCUCCACUCCCUAGUCUCUUUUCCAACACAUGGUCUUCACUCCCUAGCUGAUGAUAUUUUAGAUAUAGGGUCUCCACUCCCUAGUCUGCUUUUUCAACAUAGGGUCUCCACUCCCUAGUUAUUUUCAUUUUAGACAUAGGGUCUCCACUCCCUAGUCUCUUUUCCAACAUAAGGUAUUCACUCCCUAGUUUAUACUUUUUGUUAUACAUAGGGUCUUCACUCCCUAGUUGAUGCUUUAUUUUAGACAUAGGGUCUCCACUUCCUUGUCGCUUUUACAACAUAGGGUCUCCACUCUUUAGUUGAUACUUUAUUUUAGACAUAGGGUCUUCAGUCCAUAGUCUUUUUCCAACAUUGGGUCUCCACUCCCUAGUUGGCUUCAUUUUUAAUUUUUAGAUAUAGGGUUUCCACUCCCUAGUCUCUACUUUUCUCGGGGUGCACUAAUCCAGACCUUUUAUUGCUUUCAAUAAUGAAGUAGUACAGCGUUUUGAUACAAAUAACUCACGAAAGUUUUCUAGUGAAAACUGGGAAAGAAAAUUUCGUUUGUUUAUUUUGUUGUCCGAGUAGGUUUUACCUCGAGGCACGAGUUUGAGAUGCCCAAAAGAAGAAGGCUCAUUCCAAGAUAAAGAAAAGAAAAGAAAAGAAAAGCGAAUCCAAAAUACAGAAGCAGAUGAACGGAUAUAGACUGCUCAGGACAUGACCGAAGUCACGAGCAUUGCAUUUUCCGUUUUGUUCUGAAAGCCGAAGAAGAAUGAACUAGCACCUGCAGCUAGCAAGCAUCAAGGUUCAAAUCAGAGUCUGCAUGAAGAACCAUUCAAGACUCAAGAUCAAGCUUCAAAAGACUCAUAGAUAGAAAUCUUGUAACUCGUAGCUGAUAGGCUUAGUUAUUCUUUUUCAUUUUGACUUUGGAUUAAUAAGGAGCUCAGCAAACAGUAACAAUAGUGAAAUCACAGUUCUUCAGUAGGCCCAACUGCCAUAAUUUCCAGAACUACACUGACCUGAUUCCUUUAUAGCCAAGGAUAUGUAGGCAACCUCCGAAGCAAGGUUCGGUCAAACGUUUUCAAAAUGCUUCCCAUGGAGUAUCAGGCGGGCAAAAAUUGCUUAUAAUAGCUCAUUUUAUCUUUGCCCGAAAACUCUUCAUGUUCUCGAGCAAAGAGGAGCAGCUGUGAGCACGUGAUUUUUGCCCGAUUAAAAUACUCCUACAAAAUCCACAAAAAUAAAUCUUUCUACUUGUUUUUUAUAUCAUAAAAUUUUAGGAAUUCCCUUUUAAUUGUUUGUUUACAUUUAGUUGCAUUUUGUGCAUAUUUAAUAUUUUAAAAUCAUGAAAAAUAAUAAUAAUUUUUUUAAUUCUUCAUGGCAUGGAAUAUUAGGUUUAAUUGUAUUUUUAGAACUUAAUUGCAUUAUUAAAUGAAAAUCACAAAAAUACCAUAGUCAUGUUUAUAUUUUUUCUUUCAAUUUUAAAUUAAUUAGAGUUAAGUUAAUUAAUUAUUUAAAUAUUAGAAAUAGAUAAUUAGGUUUGGCAAAUUAGACUUGAUUUAGGAAUUAAUUUAGGUUGUUAAUUAAUUUGAUUAGAAGUUGAAAUCAAAGAAAAAGAAAAGAAGGAAAGAAAGGAAUAUUUUGUUUAGUCUUAUGCGGAAUUGGGCCAAAAGCAUAAUUCUAGCAGCCCAAGUGCCCAAAGCUCCACACUGCCAUGCCUAAUUACCACCAAACCCAACCCCGUCCAGCCCUAUUAAUCCUAAACGACCCCGUUUUGAUCUCUUCGAAUCCCCACCGUUCAUGCACCAGAUCCAACGAUCCAGAACUCAACACCCCUUUAGAUUUAAUUGUUCGAACCCCUUCCUAACCCUAGAGACCCCAAAACUCAUCUCCCCCACCUCUCUCUCAUGCCCCACCUUCCGUCGCCCUCAGAAAUCUCCCUACGACGGUGGUACCACUUCAAACUCACUCAAACUCACACCCCAUACUCCUCUCCUCAUCCUCAAUCCAAAUCUACCAUAAAUUUUCCCAAAAGACCUACCAAAUGCUUCAAAUUUCAGAUCUAAGAAGUCACAAAAACCUAAAUCCACCUCAUUUUGAGUUUUCCCAAAUUUUGGCCUACCUGAGGUUCAUACCAACGCUAAUUGAGCACUCUUGUUGAGAGUUAUCAAUUGGAGUCAGUUUUGGACCUAUUCUAGGCCACCCGAAUUCGGUCAUCAGUACACCACCAUGGAACCCCCAAAAUGUUGAUUUCUUUUGCCGGUAUAUGGCGGGCAUCGUCACAUAUAGCAUUGUCUACCCUCGAGUGUGGGCUAAUUCUCAUGUAACGAUGUCGGCUGCUAGCCGGAUGUCCUUUUCGAGCAACCUUGUCGUCUAUGGGUAAUCCUUCUUUUCAUUUCUUUAAUUACUGCCUAUUUUAGGAUAAUUGAUUGACAUUUUUGUGUUACAUGCUAUAGAUUAGGUUUAUUUCAAAUUAACGGCGUGUUUUUUAUUUGGCUUCAACUUUUGUCAAAUUAAUCAAUUCAUAGUUAUUUUAAGGUUGCAUUAAUAUAUUGAUUGUUAGUAUAACUUCUCGUAUGUUUAGCAUGUUCUAGAUUAGUUAGAAUUUCAAAUUUAUCAAUUCUGUGAUUAGGUCAAUGCUUUAAAAGCAUAGCAGUCAGUUUUAAUUAGGUUAAAGUGACUUUAAUUAGUUAAUUAUAUGUUUGAAUUAGUUUAACCACAUAAUAUUAGUUAAAGUUUGAAUAUUGCUUGUUGUGCUGUGAUUUUUUAAUCCAUCUAAUUUUUUAUGAUAGCUGUUUGUAAUUACUAAAAUACCAGGGGGCAAAAGAAAUUAGAAAAUCAGGGAAUCUUAGUUUGGAAUUGCCUAGAAGGUUCUAGAAAAGGGGGCUAAAAUACAAUAAAUAGAAGGAAUUAGGUCAAAUUUGGUUUAAAAGAGGUAAUUUUCAUAAGUUAAAAAGAGUGAAAAUGAGAAGAAACUUCUAGAAAAGGGACAAUUGUCCAAAUCUGUUAGAAAAGAUGCUGAAAUUGGAUACAUCUGUCCAUUUUCUGGUACUAAAGAUGCCAAUUCCCUGAAUUUUAGGGAAGGUUGGCAGGUUCCUUUUGGUUUAAUCCUAUUUCCUCAUAAGACAUAGGUAUCUUUCUAUAAAAGGAACCUUUAUCCUCACACUCUAGGACGAUUUUUUCAAGGACUGCACAUUCAUUCACUCAAAAAGACACGACCUUUACACAUAAAUUCUCUAAAAUUCAGAAUUCCUCCUUUCAUUACUUCAUUGAUUUUACAUUGAUUUUUGAAAAAUCCAUUAUCCUUCACUUUCAUUUUUAGUAAAGAAAAUUUCUGGAAACCCAACUUUGGGAUUUCAGAAACAAAAAAAAUACAAAGGUUUUCAUCAGCUUGCUUUACUAUCGGAUAGUUGUGUUUUUCAAGUUCUGGGUUUGAAGUUUGGUUGAGCUUCAUUUUCUGUGUUGGCUACUGUUUCAUUAAGUUGUAGCUGAUUCUGUUUUUAGCUGUGCUUCUCAAAUUCAGAGGCUUAUUUUUUUGUUGUUCUUUGUUGCUGUUGAGGUAUUACUCUUGAUCAAAUAAUAUAAAUUUCAGUUUGUUUGAAUUAUGAAACUGUUUUCUGCAGUAUGGUGACUGUGUUUGGUGUUUAUCAAACUGUGUGUGUUGUUUAAUUAUUGUUGGAAUGUGGCUAUGAGCUAUGAGUUGAAUUAAUGCAAUGUAUCGUAUUAAAUAAUGACUAAGAUCCAUUUAUUUGAAGUUAUCUGUAGACAUGUAUGAAAUUACUCAUCUAUACAAUUUAUUCUUUAGCCUUGAAGUUUAUAGUUUGUUACCAGUUAGAAUUAAAGACUGUGAUAACCUACACUUGAUAAGGUGUUUGUUUAAGUUGUAAAAUUUUACCAGUGGUGAUUUUGGAUUUGCAUGCUAGCUUGAAAGCCUCAGUGACAGAUGCACACAUAGCUCUAAUUCAGGUUUCAAUUGCUAAUGGGUUUGGCUAAACCAGUAGAUAUUAAAGCAUAAGAAGGAAACACCAAAAGUGUUUAGAUACUCCAGUGCAAGUGGUGUGUUGAUUUCAUCCUAAAGCUGUUAUCUAGUUCAAUUGUCAUGGUUGCUCUGUUUUCUGUAUCUAUGUAGUCAUUCAUGAAUUGUAAUUAGAGUAAUUGAAACUGUGAUUCAAGAUUUGUUAUUCUUUAAUGAUGCAAAUGGGUAUUGUUUCUUUUUAGGCUUGUAUAAUUGUGUAUAAUUGGGUAUUGAAUAUGAUUUAAGGUUAGUUACCUUUUAUUGGGCCUGGCGUGGGCCAAUUUUGUAAAAGAAUGUUUGGC
rnacentral:lncRNA from 1 species